UGGGCCUGAAUGGGAGCCAGUGAGAAAGUUCUGUCUUCUCCACCUCUGUUCCUACUGCUGGGUUUUCACAAGGGACAUGUGGGGAAAUUCCAUCUGCCAGGCCUCAGAACCGGUCCGUGGAACCAUGACGGCACCUUCCCCCACUCGGUGUGCCUGAUUAGCCUCCAGAGGAGGCUUCUGGAAGUCCUUGCUUUGGGAAUCUCUGCUCAGACCUGCAGUGCCCACUCCAAGGGGGAUCAGCUAAGAAGCCUUCCGUUGCAUGGAUCCUGA
rnacentral:lncRNA from 10 species